rnacentral:rRNA from 1 species
CAGCCGCCGCGGGAAUACGAAGGGUGCAAGCGUUACUCGGAAUUACUGGGCGUAAAGCGUGUGUAGGUGGUUGUUUAAGUCUGUCGUGAAAGCCCUGGGCUCAACCUGGGAAUUGCGAUGGAUACUGGGCGACUAGAGUGCGGUAGAGGAUAGUGGAAUUUCCGGUGUAGCAGUGAAAUGCGUAGAGAUCGGAAGGAACAUCUGUGGCGAAGGCGACUAUCUGGGCCAACACUGACACUGAGGCACGAAAGCGUGGGGAGCAAACAGGAUUAGAUACCCGCGUAGUCCCUGUCUCUUAUAC